rnacentral:rRNA from 1 species
AUUGAACGCUGGCGGCAUGCUUUACACAUGCAAGUCGAACGGUAACAGGCCGCAAGGUGCUGACGAGUGGCGAACGGGUGAGUAAUGCAUCGGAACGUGCCCAGUCGUGGGGGAUAACGCAGCGAAAGCUGUGCUAAUACCGCAUACGAUCUGUGGAUGAAAGCGGGGGACCGUAAGGCCUCGCGCGAUUGGAGCGGCCGAUGUCAGAUUAGGUAGUUGGGGGGGUAAAGGCUCACCAAGCCAACGAUCUGUAGCUGGUCUGAGAGGACGACCAGCCACACUGUGACUGAGACACGGCCCAGACUCCUACGGGAGGCAGCAGUGGGGAAUUUUGGACAAUGGGCGCAAGCCUGAUCCAGCAAUGCCGCGUGCAGGAAGAAGGCCUUCGGGUUGUAAACUGCUUUUGUACGGAACGAAACGGCUCUGGUUAAUACCUGGGGCUAAUGACGGUACCGUAAGAAUAAGCACCGGCUAACUACGUGCCAGCAGCCGCGGUAAAAC